rnacentral:rRNA from 1 species
CCUAGUGGCGGACGGGUGAGUAACGCGUGAGUAACCUGCCCUUCAGAGGGGAAUAACGUUCUGAAAAGAACGCUAAUACCGCAUAACGUACAGUUACCGCAUGGUAGCAGUACCAAAGGAGCAAUCCGCUGAAAGAUGGACUCGCGUCCGAUUAGCUAGUUGGUGGGGUAAAGGCCUACCAAGGCGACGAUCGGUAGCCGGACUGAGAGGUUGAACGGCCACAUUGGGACUGAGACACGGCCCAG